CGGCUAUAUAUCAACCUCUCGCCUCACACCUCACCACCGUUAUUGCCUCGUAACGCCAGUUAACAUCUCUCUUCACUUUUCUCAGUAUCACUUCUCAACAGAAAUGGCGGUCUCGAAGGCAACUUCAUCAGUCCUUGCUGUAAUUGUCGUUGUUUGUUUUCUCAUCGGAACUACAAUAGCUGCCGACGCACCUGCACCGGCACCUGCUUCUUCCGCCGGAUCUAUGUCUCCGUCAUUCGCCGCUGGCUGUGCUGUCACUGUUUUCGCUUUCCUCUUCGGAUCUGCACUCAGGAUCUGAAGUUUUUGAAGAGUAGAGAGUACGCAUAACAAGUGGAUUCAUAAUUACGCGUAGGUGUGAGGGUCGAUUUUUAAAUGUAGAAAGAGUUUUGGGAAUGAAUUGAGUUGAAUUUAAAAUUUUCUUGUCAGUGUAAAAUCUUAAUUAGGACAAGUGCAAACAAAACAAAAAUAUCUGAAGAGUUAUAUAUAAUAUGAAGUGUUAUGUGUCCAUCAAAUUAAAGGAAGGACUCUUGUCAUUUAUUCAAGUUAUGUGCUAAAAGUUAUUCUCAUUUUAUUGGUAGCAUUUGCGAAGAGGAUGUUAGGUCAGUGCUCCUAUUAAGGUUGAGUGACUAGUCACGACCUAGACUCCAACUGCGUGACCGCGCACGUUUCUUUAAGAAAAAAAUUGUUCUCAACUUUUUAUGUAUUAGGGGGGAUGCUUUCACCUUUUCCUCAUCCCACAACUCCAAUACGACUGUUACAUUUUUUCAAUUUUUCUCUUUCAUCUACGUUUAUACUAUGUGAUUGCUAAAAAGUUUAUGUUAAAGGAAGUAAGCACCCACAACCUUUAAAUCCUG
rnacentral:lncRNA from 1 species